AAUACAUGCAANUCGAGCGGACUUGAUGGAGAGCUUGCUCUCCUGAUNGUUAGCGGCGGACGGGUGAGUAACACGUAGGCAACCUGCCUGCAAGACCGGGAUAACCCACGGAAACGUGAGCUAAUACCGGAUAUCUCAUUUCCUCUCCUGAGGGGAUGAUGAAAGACGGAGCAAUCUGUCACUUGCGGAUGGGCCUGCGGCGCAUUAGCUAGUUGGUGAGGUAACGGCUCACCAAGGCGACGAUGCGUAGCCGACCUGAGAGGGUGAACGGCCACACUGGGACUGAGACACGGCCCAGACUCCUACGGGAGGCAGCAGUAGGGAAUCUUCCGCAAUGGGCGAAAGCCUGACGGAGCAACGCCGCGUGAGUGAUGAAGGUUUUCGGAUCGUAAAGCUCUGUUGCCAGGGAAGAACGUCCGAUAGAGUAACUGCUAUCGGAGUGACGGUACCUGAGAAGAAAGCCCCGGCUAACUACGUGCCAGCAGCCGCGG
rnacentral:rRNA from 1 species